GGGGGGCUUCCCUCCUGGCGUCCUUUCUCCUGAUCCCGCCUCUCAGCUGUCAGAGAUCUGACCCGGGGAACGGUGCACCCAGAACUACUGCUCCGGAUUUCGGAGGAGGUGGGAAAGGAGUCCUCUCACUGCCCCACAUUCCACGGCUUUGGAGAUUCCUCGAUGGCACCCGCAUCCCUCUGUGAGCCAGGGUUGUACUAGGAAUGAUCACGGAUCAGGGAGGGGUAUCCUUUUCAUCCGCGGAGGAGAGAGGGACUCCCCGCACCCUACACCUGACUGCGGCGGGGUGUGUGCGUGUGUGUGCGUGUGUGCGCGUUUGUGUGUUCCUGCUCUAUGAGACUUUUCCCUCUUGUACCUUACAAACCACGCUGCCUUCUGGAGAAUGUACGUCUCAGCGGGUAACUGAUUCACAGAUCCACUGCAAGUCGUUACAGGGUCUCCUCCGCCUCAUCCAGUCCGAACGAGCGGCGAAGCCCGGGUUCAGCAGGCAGAGGCCGCGCCUCAGGGCUCUCCCCACCGCGCCCAGUGUCCGCCGCUCUCACCGCCCUUCUGGGCAGGCUCGGAACCACCAGAGCCUGCGGGACGCCCUUCGCCUCUCCCUCCACUCCAGGGACACUUGCAUAACGUGGAUCUAGAGCAACUCCUUCGCGUUGACCGCGGACGCCCCAGGGCCCGGGCAGCGACCCGCAGGUGGAAGCCGGGUGAAAACUGCCAAGGAGGGAGGUCAGCCCAGCGCGUCCUUGAGAACCCCAUGCUCCUGCUAAGCAGGACCCCAGGCGGAGGGAGCUUAGCGCAGAAGUCGGCGCUCAGCCAGCUCAGAGCUGGGUCCGCCGCACGCAGCCCCCGCGCCCCGCGCUGGCCCCGCCCCCGCGGCCCAUACCUGACCCACGUCCUCGCUGGCUUCCAGCUGCACGUUGCCGCGGCUCCGGCUUUCGCUGUCGCUCAGCAGAUCGUCCUCUGAGUCCUCGGGCAGCGACGAGGAGCCAGUAGAGGAGAGCGACGAGGUGGAGAGGCGGCGCGGCUGCUGCAGGUGUGAGGAGCCCACGGCCGGGAGCCAGCCACCCUCCGGCUCCGGUGGCCCCGGGCUGGUCGGGGGUGACCGGGAAGCUCAGACCUCGUGGACACAAAGUCAGGGCCUGGCCUUCGCAGCCUCUCUGUCCCCGCUCUCGAAGAGACCGGAGGGGUCGCUCCGCCCCCGGGCCCUACUGCCUUGGAGCUGGUCCUGCUCUCGCUCUCCUACCCAGUCCCUCCGGCUCCUUUCCACGAUCCAUCCUGGGCCAAGGAUUCCUGGUCUCCGGGCUUUCCUUCAGCAUGGAAUGCAAGGCCAUCAGCUUCCUGGGGAAGCCUCACCCCAGGGCGUGCGCCCAAGUGGGGACUCUGUCCUGGGCAAGACCUGAGGCUUCUUCCCCCCAAGCUCCCCACUUCUCAGCUGGCAGAGAACAAGGUCAGGGGGGCGGGGCCUGAAUCUCGCGGCGAGUCCUGGCGCAGUCCUGGGCAGCAUCCCUUGGCUACUGGCUGGCAGGGGCUGUGCCCUUCUGACUCCUUUUUCUGUGGAAUUCGGAGCGUGGAGUCUGCUGUGUGAUCCUAAGCAAGUCAUUUCACCUCCUUGAACUGUUGAUUCUUUUCCGCAGGGUUGUCGUCUACCUCACAGAAUUGCUAGGAGAAUAAAAUAAAAUGAAGGAUGUAAAAUCUAUACAAUAUGAGAAUAGUUUUAGUGUGGGUGGUAGGAAGAGCCAGUCUCAGGUUCAUCACACUCUAGAUGUGAUCGUUGACGUCUCUUCCCUUUGUAAAUUUAGGGAAACCUCACCUGACCCAGAGUUGUGGCUGUGACAGGGUAAGAGAGCCACGACGCUGGCUCAUCCGUGGCAUCGUGGUGCAGUAUUUGGCCGCUUCACAAGUUAGUGGUCGGCUGAACUGCAGGGCUGCUUUAAGUAGAGUUUGUAUUUCACAGCAUUUCUUGUCUUCCCCCAAAAUGCCACCGGGGAGGAUCCCUCCUCAGGUGCCUCGUGCCUCAGGAUUGUUGGGGACCCUGUGGGGCAGGAUGCCCCAGAAGGAUUGCCUCUGAUGCUGAUGAAGGCCAAAAGAAGCUCCCCUUCCCCUCAUCUCCCUUCAGCUAGAUUCAAGGAUGGCCCAGGAGGAGACAAAAGGAGGGUUCAGAGAGAGAAAAUGGGAAGCUUCAGCAGAGCAAAAAGGAGAAGGUCCUGGGGGAAUUGAUGAAGAAAGUAAAAGUGUGGAAGGAUGAGUGGAGGGGAAGGAGAGAAAGACGGAAAUACAGGAGUUUGACUAUUCAGAGAACCUGGGAAAUCGCAUGGCUACUUUCUGUGGGCACAGAGAUCUAGAGGAGCCUGGGUGUGUGUGAAGGGUGUACUCUAGAGCUUGAUGGCUCAAAAGCCAUGUCUCCUGCACUCACUUCCCUCUUUCGGGGCUACCUUGGUCUCUGGUGGGACUGGUACUGCCCUCAGGGUAGGGGCAGGCUGGGGGCAAGCCCGGGAUGGGGAGAGUCAACAAGGACUCGCCAGAACUGAAAAGGUGGGAGGGAAAUGAGAGGAGGGAACGUGCACUGUGCACCUGUUAAUGUUUGUGAGAUAUAUAUAUAUAUAUAUAUAUAUAUAUAUAUAUAUAUAUAUAUAUAUAUAAACGACAAUGUUGGAAGCACAAGCAAGCCAGGAGCUGGCUGCCAAGAGAAAACUCAAGGGCAAUUCUUUUUCUUCUUCUAUUAGGCACUUGUCCUAAGCCCAGAAACCAAAGAAGAGCUCUUUGCCAUAUUUUCCAAGUAUCCCUCAGUGGAAAGAACCCCAGACCAGAUAUGGGAGCAACAACAAAAGAACAAAACUGGAAACCGAGAAAGACGAAUACCUGUGGAGCAGAAUCUAUGGGAUGGGGAGGGAUAAGAAGGGCAGAAGACUGCUGCUUUUCACUAUAAAUCACUACGUCUUACGGGUCUAUGUGUGCACACAAACACGUGGAUGUGAAGAGUACAUGUUACUUCAAUAAUUAAAAAAAUUAACUGGAGCAA